UAUCUAUUAUAUUUUCAUCUUUAUGUCUAUGUGUACCCAUUGUUGUGCUCUCACUUAUAAGUGAGAACAAAAGGUAUUUGGUUUUCUGUUUCUAAGUUAGUUCACUUAGGAUAAUGGCCCCCUCUCCUCCAUGUUGCUGGGAAGGACAUAAUUUCAUUCUUUUUUAAGACUGUGUAGUAUUCCAUGGUGUUUAUAUACCAUGUUUUCUUUUAAUGUGGAAGUAAAUGAAGGUCACCAAAAUGAAAACAAAGAAAGGCUAUGUAUUCAGCACUUGCUGUAGCAAGGUAAUCGUCCACCACCACUUGUGUCUGGCAAAGACUCAAAGGCAGGCAGAGGAGUGGGAAAG
rnacentral:lncRNA from 10 species